GACGAACGCUGGCGGCGUGCCUAAUACAUGCAAGUGGGACGCAAGGAAACACACUGUGCUUGCACACCGUGUUUUCUUGAGUCGCGAACGGGUGAGUAACGCGUAGGUAACCUGCCUAUUAGCGGGGGAUAACUAUUGGAAACGAUAGCUAAUACCGCAUAAUAUUAAUUAUUGCAUGAUAAUUGAUUGAAAGAUGCAAGCGCAUCACUAGUAGAUGGACCUGCGUUGUAUUAGCUAGUUGGUAAGGUAAGAGCUUACCAAGGCGACGAUACAUAGCCGACCUGAGAGGGUGAGCGGCCACACUGGGACUGAGACACGGCCCAGAAUCCUACGGGAGGCAGCAGUAGGGAAUCUUCGGCAAUGGACGAAAGUCUGACCGAGCAACGCCGCGUGAGUGAAGAAGGUUUUCGGAUCGUAAAGCUCUGUUGUAAGUCAAGAACGUGUGUGAGAGUGGAAAGUUCACACAGUGACGGUAGCUUACCAGAAAGGGACGGCUAACUACGUG
rnacentral:rRNA from 1 species